rnacentral:rRNA from 1 species
AGAGUUUGAUCCUGGCUCAGGAUGAACGCUAGCGGCAGGCCUAAUACAUGCAAGUCGAACGGGAACCAUUAGCAAUAGUGGUGAGAGUGGCGCACGGGUGCGUAACGCGUAUGCAACCUACCUUUAUCAGGGGGAUAGCCCGGAGAAAUCCGGAUUAAGACCGCAUAACAUAGUGAACUGGCAUCAGUUUAUUAUUAAAUAUUUAUAGGAUAAAGAUGGGCAUGCGUGUCAUUAGCUAGUUGGCGGGGUAAUGGCCCACCAAGGCGACGAUGACUAGGGGCUCUGAGAGGAGAAUCCCCCACACUGGUACUGAGACACGGACCAGACUCCUACGGGAGGCAGCAGUAAGGAAUAUUGGUCAAUGGGGGCAACCCUGAACCAGCCAUGCCGCGUGCAGGAAGACGGCCCUAUGGGUUGUAAACUGCUUUUAUACGGGAAUAAACCCCUCGAUGCGUUGAGGGUUGAAGGUACUGUAAGAAUAAGGAUCGGCUAACUCCGUGCCAGCAGCCGCGGUAAUACGGAGGAUCCAAGCGUUAUCCGGAUUUAUUGGGUUUAAAGGGUGCGUAGGCGGCUUUUUAAGUCAGUGGUGAAAGUUUUCAGCUCAACUGAAAAAUUGCCAUUGAUACUGAGGAGCUUGAGUACAGAUGAGGUGGGCGGAAUGAGUCAAGUAGCGGUGAAAUGCAUAGAUAUGACUCAGAACACCAAUUGCGAAGGCAGCUCACUAAAGUGUAACUGACGCUGAGGCACGAAAGCGUGGGGAUCGAACAGGAUUAGAUACCCUGGUAGUCCACGCCCUAAACGAUGAUUACUCGCUGUUAGCGAUAUACAGUUAGCGGCAAAGCGAAAGCAUUAAGUAAUCCACCUGGGGAGUACGCCCGCAAGGGUGAAACUCAAAGGAAUUGACGGGGGCCCGCACAAGCGGAGGAGCAUGUGGUUUAAUUCGAUGAUACGCGAGGAACCUUACCCGGGCUUGAAAGUUACUGAAGUUCCCAGAGAUGGGAGCGUCCCUCGGGACAGGAAACUAGGUGCUGCAUGGCUGUCGUCAGCUCGUGCCGUGAGGUGUUGGGUUAAGUCCCGCAACGAGCGCAACCCCUAUGUUUAGUUGCCAGCACGUUAAGGUGGGGACUCUAAACAGACUGCCUACGCAAGUAGAGAGGAAGGAGGGGACGACGUCAAGUCAUCAUGGCCCUUACGUCCGGGGCUACACACGUGCUACAAUGGACGGUACAGCGGGCAGCUACCUGGCAACAGGACGCAAAUCUCACAAAGCCGUUCACAGUUCGGAUCGGGGUCUGCAACUCGACCCCGUGAAGUUGGAUUCGCUAGUAAUCGCGUAUCAGCAAUGACGCGGUGAAUACGUUCCCGGGCCUUGUACACACCGCCCGUCAAGCCAUGGAAGCUGGGGGUACCUGAAGUCGAUAACCGUAAGGAGUCGCCUAGGGUAAAACCGGUAACUGGGGCUAAGUCGUAACAAGGUAGCCGUACCGGAAGGUGCGGCUG